rnacentral:lncRNA from 7 species
GAACGCACUAGAGCGCGCACCGUUCGUCACUGAAAACUGGGCCCCGCUGGAUCGUCUGCUCCUCGCUCGCUAUCUCUAGAUUUGUGGGCCCGUGGCGUCAGGCACGAUCCAAAAUUCCUCGCCAGGCAUGACGGAAGUGCGCCGUGAAUGGGGGAAGGCUCGUUGCCCCUUUUCCAGACCGUGCGGCCCCUAUAAGCUGUGACGGGGUCCCGGGUCUCCACUUUCCCUAUCUCCGCGACCAUAGGAGCACAGACGCAACUGAGUGGGGGGCCAAUCAUGGGUGUGCGGGUCGGCGGCGUGGAAAGCUUGGAGUCGUCGGCCUCAACCGUGCCUGCGGAGUCUGGUGGUGGUCGGGGAGCUUCGCGAGACCACGUGGAACGUGUACAGAUCGUCCUCGGGAGCGAUUACCUGCUGGCGUGGAAGGAAUUGCUCACCAUCGACCACGGGCGGCCGUGGAAUCGUCGAGCACCGUGGGCGGAACUCGGUGUGCCGCCAGUGUUG